UAGGGUCGGGUCCUAAUGGAAUUGUGUUAGGGUCGUGUUCUAAUGGAAGUGCGUUUGGGUCGUGUUCUAAUGGAA